rnacentral:rRNA from 1 species
UGGGGAAUUUUGGACAAUGGGCGCAAGCCUGAUCCAGCAAUGCCGCGUGCAGGCUGAAGGCCUUCGGGUUGUAAACUGCUUUUGUACGGAACGAAACGGCUCUGUCUAAUACCUGGGGCUCAUGACGGUACCGUAAGCAUAAGCACCGGCUAACUACGUGCCAGCAGCCGCGGUAAUACGUAGGGUGCAAGCGUUAAUCGGAAUUACUGGGCGUAAAGCGUGCGCAGGCGGUGCUGUACUACAGGUGUGAAAUCCCCGGGCUUAACCUGGGAAUUGCAUUUGUGACUGCAUCGCUGGAGUGAGGCAGAGGGGGAUGGAAUUCCGCGUGUAGCAGUGAAAUGCGUAGAUAUGCGGAGGAACACCGAUGGCGAAGGCAAUCCCCUGGGACUGCACUGACGCUCAUGCACGAAAGCGUGGGGAGCGAACA